UGCUGAUCACUUAGAUUCCACCUAUACCUGCCUAAAUAACCCAGAAAACCGCCAGAGGAUUAGCAGAACGGAGUCUCCGGAGCCAAGCGCAGACGAGAGGCCCACGGAAGAGGGCUUCAACCAGGAGCUUCAGAAGAACUAAAAGUCAUAUUUCUUUGCCCAGUUAUUGGUUUAAGGAAACCAGGGAUCACCAUGUAUUUUACGAAAAAGGAUGUGCAUCCUGCCAGAUUGUGGCAUGACACUCGGCCCCUCAAUAAGAAGCCAUUGGGUUCCAACUACAGAAGAAAUCUCAAACCUGACCGUUGCCUCUAAGGAGCAGACAAUAGCAUCUCCUCCAUCAUCCCAAAUGAAGAAUCAUCUUGGAAAAUUGUGACAAAUUUAUAGACUAAAGUUUCUUCUCCAUUGUAAGAAUCUUGAGAGGUCUGGAAUUCUAGACCCUGUCUCCUAAAAAUUUCCAGGAUAAACUUCCCUCCUUCUUUUACUAUAGGUGCACUCUACAAAAGAAGCUGAGAAUCCCCGCAGCAGAUGAUGGAGAACCUCUGCAGUCUCUCCCUCCUUCCUUUCUUGAUCAUUAUCCCCAUGAUUGAUCAGCCCCACUCAAUGAAUUAGAAGGGCGGAGGCUCAUGGCCCAAUCCAAUGUAACUGAAUAAAGCAGCAUGAGCAAAGGGAAGGACACAGAAACUACCAUCUAAAAAAGGUGAAGACCUGGACCCCCAUUAUCACACCUGCCCCUUUGGCUAAUUGCAAAAGAAGAAAACGGAACAUGAGCUCUAGCCAGAAAAGAUUCACAGCUGCCACUCUUUAGUUGCUACUUUAAUGGAAAACACAUGUGCAAGAUACCACCCAGGAGACAACUGUGCUCUGACAAAAGGAACGUCACCAGAAAAUGAGCCACGUGAGAGGACUUAUUCUCUUGGAUAGGCCGAACCCAGAAAGAAGGUUGAUAGUAUUGUUCUUAUAUAAAUAUGUGCUGGUCUAAAGAUGAGAUGUGAGACAGAAAUUGAUCUGUAGCAACCAAGUUGAAAGGCAAUGAUGUAAAUUAGCCCUCAACAAUUCUCACUCUACAACAAUUUUACCAUCA